rnacentral:rRNA from 1 species
UACGUAGGUGGCAAGCGUUGUCCGGAUUUACUGGGCGUAAAGAGCGCGCAGGCGGUCAGAUAAGUCGAAUGUGAAAGCCCCCGGCUCAACUGGGGAGGGGCAUUCGAUACUGUUCGACUCGAAGGCAGGAGAGGGAAGUGGAAUUCCCGGUGUAGUGGUGAAAUGCGUAGAUAUCGGGAGGAACACCAGUGGCGAAGGCGACUUCCUGGCCUGUUCUUGACGCUGAGGCGCGAAAGCUAGGGGAGCAAACGGG